CAUAUAACGAAGUUUGGGCAAUUCAAAUUACAAAUUACCUUUGCCUGAAGACUGCCCUGGAGGACACAAAUGCUGUCGAUUUGAUUCUGGGCCUGUUUGCGUGCCGCCUGUUUUCAUGAAGCUGGGUCAGUGUCCCAUACCGGAGAUGAUUCCACUGUGUGCUGAAAGCUGUUUUCAAGCCGGGUCAAUGUCCCCUACCGGAGAUGAUUCCUCUGUGUGCUGAAAGCUGUUUCCAUGAUGGCCAGUGUCCUGCCACACAGAAAUGUUGCCCAACCACCGGUGGCUUUGCAUGCAGUGAACCACGUGGUCAGGGAAGAGGUCAGACAAGUGGCCAGGGAAGCGGCCAGGGCCAGGGAAGCGGCCAGGGUCAGGGAAGCGGUUACGGCCAGGGCAGCGGCCAGGGUCAGGGAAGCGGUCAAGGGAAUGGUCAUGGUCGGGGAUGUGGUCAAGGGAAUGGUCGGGGAUGUGGUCAAGGAAGUUGUCAGGGAUGUGGUCAUUGAAAUGGUCAUGGGAGUUUUGUGUAACACUUACUGGAGGUCUUUUCAAUUCAGUGCUUUAUUCAUAAGCCAUGUGUUCCCUGUUUGCUCAAAUGGUUUAGAAAUAUUUUCUGUCCCACCUCUGCCUCAAAUAAAAAGAUUUGCUUGAUUGACGAGUUGGUGUUUUUUGGUGUCAUUUGGCUGUUUUCUCGCAUCAGUGCUUUCUUGCAUCAGUGCUUUAAAGGAACACUCCACUAUUUUUGAAAAUUUUCCAACUCCCUUAGAGUUAAAUGUUUGAGUUUUACUGUUUUGAAAUCCAUUCAAACGAUCUCUGGGUCUGGCGG
rnacentral:lncRNA from 1 species